GGAAUGAAUGGCUUAACGAGGAAUUGACUUUUUUUACUAUUUAAAUUGAAUUUAAUUUUUUAGUGAAAAAGCUAAAAUUAUUUAGAAAGACGAGAAGACCCUAUAGAGUUUUAUAUAUGAAUUUAUUUUUUAUAAUUUGUUUUCUUUGUGAAAAGUAAAUUUUCUAUAUUUUGUUGGGGCGACAUUAAGAUAAAAGAAACUCUUUAUUUUUAAAAUUUUUAUGUAAAGAUUCUUGAUCCUUUAAAAAAGAUCAAAAGAAAAAAUUACCUUAGGGAUAACAGCGUAAUCUUUUUUGAGAGUUCUAAUCGACAAAAAGGUUUGCGACCU
rnacentral:rRNA from 1 species